GACGUAGGGCGCGAGCGUUGUCCGGAUUUAUUGGGCGUAAAGAGCUCGUAGGCGGCUCGUUGCGUCGGCUGUGAAAACCCGCAGCUCAACUGUGGGCUUGCAGCCGAUACGGGCGGGCUAGGAUUCGGUAGGGGAGGACUGGAAUUCCUGGUGUAGAGGUGAAAUUCGUAUGAUAUUGGGAAGAACACCGGUGGCGAAGGCGGCUCACUGGCUCAUUACUGACGCUCAGGCGCGAUAGCGUGGGGAUCAAACAGG
rnacentral:rRNA from 1 species